CAAAAGGCCACUUCGUGUGGUCUAGGAAGUCCUUUCCAGGUUGAGCCCAUGAAAGGCUUACCACGUUUGAACUAGUUCUGAUGGGGGUAGGACAGAGUCCACGCUUCCUCACCCCUGUCUACAAGCACGUGCCAUGCCUCCAGCCACAACCGCAGGACUCACGGACUCCACUCAGAGUCAGACUGGUCUAAUGGCAAGAAGCAACGAACUAGGAAUGGGGAAGACGGUAAAGCAGGUUAUACAGUUCCUGACAUGCAGAAAAUGAUCAAUAGAGGUUAGUUGUUGUAAUCAUUGUUAGGUGUGGCCACUUAAACAUAUGACUUUAGGCAAGCUGCUGGGACUCUCUUAUAGAUUAGAGUGGCUUGCCUACACUCUGGGGUUCCAGCAAUAAUAAAUGAAGAUAAAGACAAUUAGAAAUACUUUGAAAGAGGACAAUCCAAGGCAAGACCUUGUGAUUUCCCUUAUCACCCAACAAGCUUCUGGAACCACAUCGUCACUAGCCGGUGCAUAAUCCUGGAGUGCAAAGUGGUUUUAUUAUUCCCUGAAAGAGAUAUAAUAAAGUCCGGAAAGUCCAAUGUGUGGGGCUUU